CCUACGGGUGGCAGCAGUAGGGAAUAUUGCACAAUGGGGGAAACCCUGAUGCAGCGACGCCGCGUGAGUGAAGAAGUAAUUCGUUAUGUAAAGCCCUAUCAGCAGGGAAGAAAAUGACGGUACCUGACUAAUACGCCCCGGCUAACUCCGUUCCAGCAGCCGCGGUAAUACGUAGGGGGCAAGCGUUAUCCGGAUUUACUGGGUGUAAAGGGAGCGUAGACGGCAGAGCAAGUCAGGAGUGAAAUGCGGGGGCUCAACCCUCGGACUGCUCUUGAAACUGUAAGGCUGGAGUGCAGGAGAGGUAAGUGGAAUUCUUAGUGUAGCGGUAAAAUGCGUAGAUAUUAGGAGGAACACCAGUGGCGAAGGCGACUUACUAGACUGUAACUGACGUUGAGGCUCGAAAGCGUGGGGAGCAAACAGGAUUAGAUACCCCUGUAGUC
rnacentral:rRNA from 1 species